rnacentral:rRNA from 1 species
GUGCCAGCCGCCGCGGUAAUACCGGCAGCCCGAGUGAUGGCCGAUCUUAUUGGGCCUAAAGCGUCCGUAGCUGGGUCUGAAAGUCCGUCGGGAAAUCCAUCAGCCCAACUGAUGGGCGUCCGGCGGAAACUGCACGGCUUGGGACCGGAAGGCUCGAGAGGUACGUCCGGGGUAGGAGUGAAAUCCCGUAAUCCUGGACGGACCGCCGAUGGCGAAAGCACGUCGCGAAGACGGAUCCGACAGUGAGGGACGAAAGCUAGGGUCUCAAACCGGAUUAGAUACCCGGGUAGUCC